rnacentral:rRNA from 1 species
AGUGAACGCUGGCGGUAGGCCUAACACAUGCAAGUCGAACGGCAGCACAGUAAGAGCUUGCUCUUACGGGUGGCGAGUGGCGGACGGGUGAGGAAUACAUCGGAAUCUACUUUUUCGUGGGGGAUAACGUAGGGAAACUUACGCUAAUACCGCAUACGACCUACGGGUGAAAGCAGGGGAUCUUCGGACCUUGCGCGAUUGAAUGAGCCGAUGUCGGAUUAGCUAGUUGGCGGGGUAAAGGCCCACCAAGGCGACGAUCCGUAGCUGGUCUGAGAGGAUGGUCAGGCACACUGGAACUGGGACACGGUCCAGACUCCUACGGGAGGCAGCAGUGGGGAAUAUUGGACAAUGGGCGCAAGCCUGAUCCAGCCAUACCGCGUGGGUGAAGAAGGCCUUCGGGUUGUAAAGCCCUUUUGUUGGGAAAGAAAAGCAGCAGGUUAAUACCCCGCUGUUCUGACGGUACCCAAAGAAUAAGCACCGGCUAACUUCGUG